UAAUCAGUGAAUUCCCCUCAGCUGGCAUCUCUCACUGCCCCUCUUUGCGUGAUGUAAGAUCAGACGUACCCUGCAUUGAAAAGUCAAGACACACGAGCGGCUCGCUCGCGCUCACACGCACUCUCUCUCCCACACGCGCGCAUCCGUACACCUUCCACAUCCUGCUCCAGGCAGGAGAAGGCGAACUGGCUGGGCUCAUUGAGCUGAAGAAUUUCCAGUGACAUUUGUAAAUGACGCUGGUCGGUUCCGGGCUCGGAGCCGCCGCCGCCGCCGCCGGGCCGAGGGUGCAGCCGAGCAGUCUCCGGCGCAGGCUUCCUCCCGGGGUGACCACGAUGUCCGAGUUUCUCCUCGCCUUACUCACUCUCUCGGGAUUAUUGCCUGUCACCAAGGUGCUGACCGCGGGAGCCGACCGAGUGACGUCACAUGAACAUGCUCCAAAGCUGCGUAAAGAGAUGUAUAUUUUAGGUAAGUUCUUUAUUCCCAGAAAUGUUGCAUGUCAUUUUCACAGCCUGAUAAUUCUCAUUUUGGCCUUUACAAAUGCACUUGAAGAGUGCCAUUAUAAAUAUUAAAAGAAAAAAUAUUACAGAGACCCUCUAAAGACUCCUCUUCGGGGAUUUCUAAGCCCCUUUGAUCAGCAUUCGUGUGAUGAAGUCCAACAAAAAUUCCUGCUACUGAAUAUUCUCUUGUUCUGCUUUAAAGAAUAAGAAGCUAUUUAAAAACUAGUUUUGUACAGUUUUCCAGAACUCUUUCUCAUCUUUCUUUGAUUUGGAACUGUGCUCUUCUGUGAUUUUAAUGCACACUCGAAUGCCCCAUAAAGCAUAAGAUGGAUGAAUUAAAGCAGUAGUGUGAAAGUAGAUUCCACUUAAAGGCACUUCUCUUAUGCUGCUUUUCCUCAAAGCACCCUUAGUAAGUAAUGUUAAGAUUCAAGUGUUCCAAAUUCAUGGGUGUUUCUACUGGCAUACAGAUAUUCUGUCUAAAUAGGUAAGUCUAGCUUUCCCUUUGAGGAUGCUGUUGGUGUGAAUAGUUACUUUCCUUAAUAAAACAUGAUUUAUCAUUAUUUUUAAAAUGUAUCUAGGUAUAAAAGUAAAUUUGCCUCAUUUGCAACAUAUUGUGGUUCAGCUCUUCCACAAAAUUAAAUUGUUUAUGCUAUUUUAAUUCAUCAAGUGAGUGAAUAUAUAUCUUCCUAUUAAGAAAAUGGUUUGUCAGAUGUCAUAAAACAUUUUUUAACAGUAAAGGUCACAUUUUAUUGCAAAAAUCUGUCAGUGCUUUAUGUCCAAGCUGUGAAAUGUUAUUGCUUCAGGGUGAUUAUGUGGGAGGGGGCUGUGGUUAAGAAUGCCUUUCUGUGGCCAGCUAUGAUUUACAACAGCGAAUGGAGAAUUAAACCCUUAAUUGAAGCCUACAGAGCAAGUACCUAGAGGCUAGAUUCAGCCUGAAAUUUGAUUCAGACAAUUUUCUUAGUCAAGCCCCUAUGGGCUUCCCAGUUGAUUCUCAUGAGUUUUGAUUGUGAUUGAAAAGACAAGCUGUUUUCUGCUUUGCCCUGAACUUCCCUAAGGUAAAUCCCCAGUUUUAGUAAGCUUCUUGAUUAACCUGAAGGGAGGCAUUAUGGGAGAGAAUGUGCACACAGGAUUUUAACUAUUUCCUCAAGCCCCAAGUGAAAAUACCUCAACAUUUCAUAUAUUCUCUGAUGGAAACCCUCAUUUAGUAAACUGGUAAAUCUACCAGUCCUGAAGUUCAGGUGGAACUAUAACUGUGGCUGCGGGUACCUGCCCCUGUGCCUCUCUGACAGAGGGGGUGCGAGUCAUGUGUUGCAGGGACCUUACAUUUGUUUCGGCACAUCAGGUAUCACCAGUGGGUUUCUGACUUAGAUGUAACAUAAAUGUCAGUCCAGAGGUCACAUGACCUUGAAUAAAUCUUUCCAUCCCUUUCUAUCCAUAAGCAAUACCCUAGUUUGCUCCAUUUUAUUUUCUAAUUAUUGUUUCUUUGGUAUGACUUGCAGGUUAUUAAAUUACUUACUCUAUUAAAAAGAUAGGUUGAAUUCUGAUUUUGUCUUACAUACUCCUUGUUUCCUGAUUACUAUGCUUAAAAUAUCCUAUGAGUUUUGCCUGUAUUUAUUAAAGCCUAACUUAUUACCUAUGCUUAAUACUUAUGAUUAUCAACCACCCUUUUGUUUUCUUGUCCUCUAUAGUAGAACUGAAUAUUUUCAAAUAAAGCAGCAAAUUCACGAUAAGUAUUGAAUGCCUAAGAUAUGCAAGGCAAUGUGCUGGAUGUUAAGGAAGAAAGAAGGAUAAAUAUAAUCCCUAAUUAAGUUGACAGAAUAGUGGGAGAGCUAGGUUAUUUAAUUAAAGUUGUAAUGCCAGGUAGGUUAAAAUUUCUGCAGAAUUGUCACAGAACUCAGGCCUAGCUGCUUGUUGCUCUAAAAAAAAAAAAAAAAAAAUCAAUAGUCAAGAGGCAAGUGUUGGUGGAAAUGGAAAAUGUAGUUUUUAAUCAGAAAGUUGGCAGUCUGAGGAGAUGGUGGACUUCAAUGUCCCCCAAAACCAACUACAAAGAUUCUGCUGGGCCAUGAAAGCUUUGAAAGGGAAAAGAGGGAGCAAUCUCAGUUAAUCAUUGAGAUAAGGGCUCAGAGUCAUCACUUUCUCCCACUCUGUGCAGGCUUGUCGACUUCCUGUGUUCUUUAUUUAGAUGCUAUCUUGUUCAGACAGAUUUUUCCAUGAGAUUACUAAAAGGGAAACUAGGGAAUGGAUUUGGUCAUCUAUUCAUUACUUAUUCUUCAUUUCUACUUCUUUGAUCUAUGGAAAGAACCAACAACACUAGGCAAGGUAUCGUAUGAUCUAAAGCUUUAAAAGGUAUGCUAGGGUAGAGAUGAAUUAAGCACGGGGACCCCUGAUUUAAAAGUCAGUUACACUGUAGCUUUGCUAAAUUGACAAAACUAAAAGGGUUUCCCACAGAGGGCAGUGUCCUGUAAAGAGCUACUUACAGAAUGGGCACUGACAUGACAAGAAUUGUGAUUUAGGAAAAUGAAUCUGGAAGUGGUGUGUAUGGGUCAUGGGAGGAAAGGUAAAUGAUUAAGAUCAUUUUAGUGAUCUGGGAAAAGUGAUAAUGUUAUCGCAAACUACUGAAAUGGUUAUGUGAUAAGAGAGAAUUAACAGUAUGUGACAACCUACUGAAUAUAGGUAGUUCAGGAGCAGGGAAAAGGGCACUAAGAUAAUCUUGAGCCUUUGAACCUGGGUUAACUGGCGGAGGUGCAUUAAACACAUAAAAAUAGGAACAUGGGGUAGAGCUAGCUGAGGAAAAGAGGGUUUUGUAGAUGGAACUAUAUUGAAUGUGAUAUUCCAGGAGGGCAUCUACACUGAAAUGUAAGCCAGGCAGGAAAUACUGAAUAGAUGGUAUGACUAGAAAUAAAAUUGGAGAAUCAUCUAAAUAGAAGAGAAUACUCAGCUAAGGGAUUUGUUCCUGAUCCUUAAGUGAAAGGAUAUACAGGUAAGAGAGAGCAAAUAAUGGAACUUUGAGAAUUGGCAACACCUUGGGCAUGGGAAAAGAGGGAAAUAGAGAGGAAGAAGCAAGAGGAAACACGAUUAUCAGAGGUAGAAGGAAAACCUGAAAUGAGGAUAUGGGCAAGAGCCUGUUGGGAAAAGCAGGAGAAUUAGAUGAUUUAAAAAAGGCUAAUUAGACUUAGCCAAAAAGGUAUACUGAUUGUUUCUGGGAGAGAUAUUUCAAUACAUUGUAUUUUUGAGGUAUUUAUGACUGAGAGGUGAUAAACUAGAAGCAGAGAGGAUAAGUUUUCCUGAUUGAAAUUUUGCUAGUAAGGGAGCAACCCAAUAGCAAGAAUGAAGAAAGAGUUUGUUCCACUGGUUUUUUGACAGAAGAGCUUCAGGCAUGGAUUUUUCCAGGAAAGAUGAAGAGAUAGAAGAUGUAAAAGAGGAAAGACAUAACUGAUAAAACCUGGCUAUAGGAAGCAAGAAAGAUGGGAGUCAAGAAAGUAGAAAGUGAAGGGUUUUUCUUCCAUGAUUCUGACAGACAAUACAAUUUUGCAAGACCAGCAAAAGGCCUUCCAUCAUUUCUUAUCUUUCCCAUAUACGAGUAGUUCUGAUUCUUGUCAGCCAAAUUUAUAGAGAUCUGAUCUGGAUAUUCAGAUAAUGCUUAUACCAUCAUCAUCCAAAAUUGCUUUAAAAUGUCCUCUCCUAUCUUUUAAAUAUACUAGUAAAUAGCUGAGGCCUUGGCUCUCUUUAAUGAACACACAAAGUAAUUCAUAUAAAAACAGAUUGAUGUGAUCAAAAAUGAAUAUGAAUAGGAAAGAGAAAGACACAAUCUCAAAUAAAGAAGUAGUUACUUUUCUUAUAGGCAAGUAAAUUUGGUGAUAGAACAUGAAGGAAAAUUAGAAAUUCUGUUGUUGGAGCAUCUCUUUUUUACAUAAUAAACAUGGACAAUUAAUGAUGUAAUUUAGUAUUUUAUUGAAGGACUCCCACUGCAUGUAAGGUGGUAUAAAAUAAGAUUUUUACAUAAAUUAUUUUGUUAAUUCAUGCCUCACAAUUGAUCUCUACAAUUUAUGACUUUUUGUCACUAAUAUACUUAGAUUUGCACUAGACACAUUUUACCUAAUCCUAACAAAGACAAGAUUACACUUAAUUUUCUAAGGACCCAGGCUGCUGCCUUUUAAUAUAUAAUAUUUUACAUAUGGGAGUAUCAUCCUACUAAUGCUUACUUUAUACAAACCACGAUAAAAUAUAUUAGUCUAAUGAUAGUGACAGCAAAUUAAUUACAAGUGGUGCUGGGAUUGUACAUGCCUCUCAUUUUUAGAUGACUUCCUAGGGAAAUAAUGAUAUUUUAUGACUGUGACUGAGGUUGUACUUAUUAGUACUGCCAAAUAUUCUUUUAUAGAAUUUUCACAGACAAAAUAACAGCAAGUAACUUUACCCAGGUUUUCUUCUUGAAAGAUGAAGCUUAAGACAGAGAUUUUGUUUUGUUUUUAAAGAUUUAUUUUGACUACAAUUAUUUUGACAUACAUGUCAGACUUGCACUCAGAUCUCUUCAAUACAUAUUGUUUUAAUACCUACCUUCUAGAUGAGACCUUCUGUAGGUCUGGAAUGGAAAAAUCAAGAUAACAGACUAGUGGUCUCUGCCCUCACAGGAUCAUAUAGUCCAGUGUGGUUGAUUACAAAAGAGAAUAAGAAGCACAAUCGUUUAAUUCCUGAAGGCUUGGGCGCAUUUGUUAGGCUUCUGGAUUGAGCAUUUGGGUAGAGAAAAUAAAUUUUAAGGGAGCAUAGCACAUUAAAUAAUCUGAGUAUAAGUUGAGGAAUAGGCAUAUGUGAAACGGUGAGCCCACUGUGGACUUUACGCUAAGGGAAGUAAAGAAUCACUGAAGAAUUAUAAGCAAAGUAGUGACAUGAGUAAAAUUGUACUGUGCAAAGAUCUGAUCAGUGGAGAGAAUAAAGUAAAUGAAGUGAAUCUAGAGUCAGGAAUAUUUAUUAGGCAACAACUGAAUCAAUGCAGGCAGUGCAUGAUGGUAGUCUGAAGUAGUGCUGCUCUGUGCAGUGAGAGAAUAGAUUGAAAGGAUACUUAUGAGAUAGAGUCUACAGUUCCUGGUGCUUCCUGGGGGAUGAGGAAGGGAGAGGAAAAAAUCAAGGUUCUUAGGUGUUGGGUUUGGAUGGUUGAGUAGACUGAUGAUUUUCUUUGAACUUGGAAUCAUAGGAAGAAGAGUUUUAGGGCAGAAGAAAAUGAGACUCAUUGUUGGUGUAUUGGGUUUAGUGAUUUCUGCACCAUCCAUGUGGAUCUGCCUAGUGGGAUAUCUGUCCUGUGGGCCUGGGGUUACCUGGUGAUCACAGCACAGUGCAAGUGAUUGCCCUGAGAAUGUAUAGAGUGACAUGAAGCUUCAAACAGGACCUAUGUACUUUUUCUAUAAGGAGCCAAAUGGUAAAUAUUCUUAGGAAUUGUGGGCCAUACAGUUCAAAACUACUCAACUCUGUUCUUGUAGCAGUGAGGCAGCUAAAAGACAACAUGUAAGUGAGUGGGCAAGGUUGUUAUACCUUAAAGAUUAAUUAUGCAUACUGAAAUUUGAAUUAUCGAAUUAUCCCAUAUCACUGAAUCAUCACAUAUCACUAGUCUUCCUUUGAUUUUUAAAAAUUUCUUCAACCAUUUAAAACUAUACAAGUUCAUUCUUAGUUUAUGGGUCAUACCAAAACCAAAAACCAAAAACCAAAAAAAAAAAAAA
rnacentral:lncRNA from 1 species